rnacentral:rRNA from 1 species
CUACGGGUUGCUGCAGUGGGGAAUAUUGCACAAUGGGCGCAAGCCUGAUGCAGCCAUGCCGCGUGUAUGAAGAAGGCCUUCGGGUUGUAAAGUACUUUCAGCGGGGAGGAAGGGAGUAAAGUUAAUACCUUUGCUCAUUGACGUUACCCGCAGAAGAAGCACCGGCUAACUCCGUGCCAGCAGCCGCGGUAAUACGGAGGGUGCAAGCGUUAAUCGGAAUUACUGUGGCGUAAAGCGCACGCAGGCGGUUUGUUAAGUCAGAUGUGAAAUCCCCGGGCUCAACCUGGGAACUGCAUCUGAUACUGGCAAGCUUGAGUCUCGUAGAGGGGGGUAGAAUUCCAGGUGUAGCGGUGAAAUGCGUAGAGAUCUGGAGGAAUACCGGUGGCGAAGGCGGCCCCCUGGACGAAGACUGACGCUCAGGUGCGAAAGCGUGGGGAGCAAACAGGAUUAGAUACCCCCGUAGUC